rnacentral:rRNA from 1 species
GAUGAACGCUGGCGGCGUGCUUACCACAUGCAAGUCGAACGGUGAAGCAGAGCUUGCUCUGUGGAUCAGUGGCGAACGGGUGAGUAACACGUGAGCAACCUGCCCCUGACUCUGGGAUAAGCGCUGGAAACGGCGUCUAAUACUGGAUAUGAGCUGCGACCGCAUGGUCAGCAGUUGGAAAGAUUUUUCGGUCUGGGAUGGGCUCACGGCCUAUCAGCUUGUUGGUGAGGUAAUGGCUCACCAAGGCGUCGACGGGUAGCCGGCCUGAGAGGGUGACCGGCCACACUGGGACUGAGACACGGCCCAGACUCCUACGGGAGGCAGCAGUGGGGAAUAUUGCACAAUGGGCGAAAGCCUGAUGCAGCAACGCCGCGUGAGGGAUGACGGCCUUCGGGUUGUAAACCUCUUUUAGCAGGGAAGAAGCGAAAGUGACGGUACCUGCAGAAAAAGCGCCGGCUAACUACGUG